GGCCUUUUAGCUCAGUUGGUUAAAGUGUCGUGUUAAUAACGCGAAGGUCGCAGGUUCAAGACCUGCAUGGGCCA